UGAUUUCCAACCCCUAAACACACUCGAAAAUGAUGAGUCCCUCCACCUUCCUACACCAUCCUUCUCCCUUUCAUUUAAUUCCAUGGCAUAAUAUAUACAGACUCAUUAAUGUCCUUUACAUGUAUUUGUCUAUCCUCAAAGACCCUUCUAUUCUUAGUCUUCCAUAGUGUAACUGUCACCCUUCCCCGUCCACACCUAAAUCCCAUGCAAGACCCAUGAAUAUAUUUUUGAAAAUGGAUGAUUACACUGUUAUGUAAAGCAGUAUCAAACCCCAACCAUUUUAAACAUUCUUGCCAAACUAGUAAAAACCCCUUACCUUCAAGAAACAAAUGUUUCGUAAAUUCGGUUCACCUUAACACCUAACACACCACAGAUUAUCUUCAACUAGUAUUCCUCUUCUACAAAGAUUUUGCUUUGUAGGAAUUCUAUCAUAUAGUAAUCUCCAUGCAAACUUAGCCUCUCUUAACGUGACCAUUUUGUUCCAAACCUUUCCCGACGGAAUCCUUCAAUUAACACUUCAUCCCUUAAAUUCAUGAGCACUUUGUAUGUUGAACUAACAAUAUAUGUUCCAAUAGAGUCCCUCUUCCAUCUCCAUCUAUCAGAUUUUUCAUUUAGCAACCCCUUAAAAUUCAUCUCAUCUUCCAAUACUUGGACCAAGUCCUUCUCCUAUCCUCAUAGCUCAUUUUCCCAUAGCCAAUUCCAAUUCCACGACUAUUCCACCCAGACUCGUGCAUUUGCCACUUUAACAUUUAGAUCACAUUUGAGAUCAUAAAGUUGUUUAAAAUGACUCCCCAAAACCAUGGUUCCAUCUAGAAGGAAGCAUCCUUUCCAUCCCCCGCGUCCUUAUCUACGCUACUCCUGAAACCACCUUUUUUAAGUGUAGUUUGGAAUACUUGUGGAGCACACUUUAUCAAUGUUCUUUUGUAUUUUGGGAAAACUCUCUAACAAAUAAGACUUACUAUGUAAAAACAAC
rnacentral:lncRNA from 1 species